GAUGAACGCUGGCGGCGUGCCUAAUACAUGCAAGUCGAGCGAACAGACGAGGAGCUUGCUCCUCUGACGUUAGCGGCGGACGGGUGAGUAACACGUGGAUAACCUACCUAUAAGACUGGGAUAACUUCGGGAAGCCGGAGCUAAUACCGGAUAAUAUAUUGAACCGCAUGGUUCAAUAGUGAAAGACGGUUUUGCUGUCACUUAUAGAUGGAUCCGCGCCGCAUUAGCUAGUUGGUAAGGUAACGGCUUACCAAGGCGACGAUGCGUAGCCGACCUGAGAGGGUGAUCGGCCACACUGGAACUGAGACACGGUCCAGACUCCUACGGGAGGCAGCAGUAGGGAAUCUUCCGCAAUGGGCGAAAGCCUGACGGAGCAACGCCGCGUGAGUGAUGAAGGUCUUCGGAUCGUAAAACUCUGUUAUUAGGGAAGAACAAAUGUGUAAGUAACUAUGCACGUCUUAACGGUACCUAAUCAGAAAGCCACGGCUAACUACGUG
rnacentral:rRNA from 1 species